rnacentral:tRNA from 1 species
GCCGGAGUGGCGGAAUGGUAGACGCAGCGGACUCAAAAUCCGCCGGGCCUCGGGUCUGUGGGAGUUCGAGUCUCCCCUCCGGCACCA